CUGCUAUCGUGGCAAUACUCCUGGCUCUUCACACCACUGCCUGGGUUUGUCCUGUAGUUGCUGAGUCACUGCAGGCCCCUCUAAAUUGCGGGUCUGGGUCCGGGCCCUGCACGUGUCUGUCUCGAGGCCCCGCCCGGGUCAGAGCAGCCCGCGCUCUCUGGAAUGGCCUCAGCCAGGCAGCAUGUGCAUUUGCGGGGUGCUCCGAGGCUGACCUUGGGCUGCCAGGGUGCAGAGAGUCGUUGCUGCUGCAGCAGCAGCAGGCAGCUCAAAUGGCGGAAAAAGCGUGAGGGGAGGAAGGAAGCCGAGACCACAGUCUGUGCUCCUGACAGCCGAGCGAGCGGGGCGCUUACUGAGCGCUGCAGCCAGCCAGCCAUGGCGGGGGAAAUCCCCCUGACCCCUCCCCCAGUGAGCCAGAGCGGCCGCUGCACGCGCAGGGGCGCUGAGCUAAGUGCUGCUGAGGGAGGGGAAAAGGCUCCUGAAUGACGAGGGGGAAGGAGCCGGCGUUGGGCACUAGGGCACUGCGGCCCACCGGGCUCCGUGCUGCUGAUAGCGAGAAAUGUGAGCUGGCUGCACCACUGCAGUACCCACUGCAGACACAGAGAGAGCGGGAGAGAGAGCGGCAAGGAGCCAGCUCCCAGCCCGGAGCAUCCCGGGCUCAGGCUCCCUCCCAGCCAGGAAACAGCUCCCGGGCAGAGCCUUCUCCAGCAGCAGCGAGAGCAGCAGAGACCACCGCCAGCACCGAGCAUCCCCCGGGGACAGGGUCCGCCAGCAACAGAAAGGACUUGGCAGGGCCCUUGCUUCCAGCCAGCCCUGCACCUGCCGUGCUGCCCAGGAUCUUGCCUUGCAGAGAUGAUCCCAGGAAAGCUACUAGCAGCAGCUGCCGCCUCUUGUACGGAUCUGCCGGCCUUUUCCUGCGAGGCACGUGGAGCUGAGGCUGGGGCAGCGCGGCAGGGCUGAUCCGUGUCUACACUUCUGCACUCCCACCAACGGAGCCCGGUCUACUCCCCAGCGGGACGCUUCCUGGCUCUGGCUCUGUUGCCCAGCUACUACCCUGGGGGAGCUGCAGGCUCCACGAACCU
rnacentral:lncRNA from 1 species